UCAAAAUUGAGGAGGGACUCCUUGUACACUAACAAUAUCAUUUGCCUAUUAUUGCUCAUAGCCUUUUUCAACUCACUCUCUUUUGCAUAGAAGUUGACCUUUGGCUUUUCUCUCCGCUCAACUGACUCUUUUUCUCUCCUCUCAACUGACUCAUUUUCUCUCCGCUCAUGUGGCUUCUCUCUCUUUUCUCCACUCUCAGC
rnacentral:lncRNA from 1 species